rnacentral:lncRNA from 1 species
UACAUCAAAAUAAAAAUAUGACAACACAAAACAUUAACAUGUAAUAACUCAAAAUAGUCACUGGGUGGGGAACAUUAUAUACAAAACAUCUGUAAUUUAUAUAAUAUUGUUUGUUGUACUUCUAAUACAAGGUAUAUACAUGCACAAUUAAAAUUCUAAUGAGGUUAUAGACUGUAGACAGAGGUCAAGGUGAAUAGAAUGAGAAAGUAUUAAUGUUAAGUGACAUCCAAUUUUCACUGUUUUGUUAGCAACAUACACACAGAUGUUUAUUUUUAAAGUUAAAAACAUAUAUAAUCAUAAAUGAGGUUUAACAACGUUACCAUUUUAAACCCUUUAAUAAAAAAAAGAUAAUUUACACUUCUUAA